CAGAUCUGGGUCUGCAAUAUACACUUUGGUUGGUUGGCAUAAAACAAAAUCAACAGCAAUGGCAAUGGCGAAUGGGUGUGUGCGUGUAUGUUUUGGCUGAAAUUUACAGCACUUGCAAAAUGACAUCAUUUAACAGUUGCAAAUUGUUUUGGCAGCAAAUGAAAAAUAUAUAAAAAGAACAAAGAUAUCGUAACUAUUAGCAAAUAUCAAAAGCGUGACCAACUGUGCGCCGAUAAGAGCAACAACCAAGCAAAAAAGCAAAACAAAAACAAUAACAACAACGACAACAACAGCAACAACAACGACAACAGCAGGACUAGCAUCAGCGGCAGGAGCAGCAGGAGCAGCGGCAUAUAAAUAUUAAUAUUCCCCCAAACAUCGGCACUGAGACCAGCUGGCUCGUAAAUAUAAAAUAAUUCAACAA